rnacentral:rRNA from 1 species
AGCGAACGCUGGCGGCAGGCUUAACACAUGCAAGUCGAGCGGGCGUAGCAAUACGUCAGCGGCAGACGGGUGAGUAACGCGUGGGAACGUACCUUUUGGUUCGGAACAACACAGGGAAACUUGUGCUAAUACCGGAUAAGCCCUUACGGGGAAAGAUUUAUCGCCGAAAGAUCGGCCCGCGUCUGAUUAGCUAGUUGGUAGGGUAACGGCCUACCAAGGCGACGAUCAGUAGCUGGUCUGAGAGGAUGAUCAGCCACAUUGAGACUGAGACACGGCCCAAACUCCUACGGGAGGUAGCAGUGGGGAAUAUUGGACAAUGGGCGCAAGCCUGAUCCAGCCAUGCCGCGUGAGUGAUGAAGGCCCUAGGGUUGUAAAGCUCUUUUGUGCGGGAAGAUAAUGACGGUACCGCAAGAAUAAGCCCCGGCUAACUUCGUGCCAGCAGCCGCGGUAAUACGAAGGGGGCUAGCGUUGCUCGGAAUCACUGGGCGUAAAGGGUGCGUAGGCGGGUCUUUAAGUCAGGGGUGAAAUCCUGGAGCUCAACUCCAGAACUGCCUUUGAUACUGAAGAUCUUGAGUUCGGGAGAGGUGAGUGGAACUGCGAGUGUAGAGGUGAAAUUCGUAGAUAUUCGCAAGAACACCGGUGGCGAAGGCGGCUCACUGGCCCGAUACUGACGCUGAGGCACGAAAGCGUGGGGAGCAAACAGG